AUGUACAAAGGCGCCAAAGGCGGUUGCAGUGUGGUGCUUGAGGCGGUAGCCACACAGGACCUCUGGAUUUGGCACUCCUUCUUUGGUAUGCCAGGAACUCACAAUGACAUCAACGUGCUGCAGUGCUCUCCUGUUUUUGUCAAGCUCGUUGAGGGCCAUUCUCCUCCGGUGAACUUCGAGAUCAAUGGGCACCAAUACAACAAGGGGUACUAUCUAGCCGGCGGCAUCUAUCCGAGAUGGUCGACAUUUGUGAAGACGAUCUCAAACCCUGUGGCAGGAGGCAAGAACGCCUGGUUUGGCGAAGGUUCAGGAGGCUUGCAGAAAGGAUGUCGAGCGGGCAUUUGGUGUGCUCCAAUCUCGAUUCGCUGUUGUUCGGUACCCUGCUCAGACCUGGUCGAAAGAUCAAAUGUGGGAGAUCAUGACUUGCUGUGUCAUCUUGCACAACAUGAUCAUCGAGAGCGAGCAAGAAGACCCAGUGUUUCACACUGA
rnacentral:rRNA from 1 species